UCCGUAGGCGGGCAAUUAAGUCAGAGGUGAAAUCCCACAGCUCAACUGUGGAACUGCCUUUGAUACUGGUUGUCUUGAGUUACAGUGAAGUAGAUAGAAUAUGUAGUGUAGCGGUGAAAUGCAUAGAUAUUACAUAGAAUACCGAUUGCGAAGGCAGUCUACUAACUGUAUACUGACGCUAAUGGACGAAAGCGUGGGGAGCGAACAGGAUUAGAUACCCUGGAAGUCC
rnacentral:rRNA from 1 species